rnacentral:rRNA from 1 species
UUGAACGCUGGCGGCAGGCCUAACACAUGCAAGUCGAGCGGAUGAAGGGAGCUUGCUCCUGGAUUCAGCGGCGGACGGGUGAGUAAUGCCUAGGAAUCUGCCUGGUAGUGGGGGAUAACGUCCGGAAACGGGCGCUAAUACCGCAUACGUCCUGAGGGAGAAAGUGGGGGAUCUUCGGACCUCACGCUAUCAGAUGAGCCUAGGUCGGAUUAGCUAGUUGGUGGGGUAAAGGCCUACCAAGGCGGCGAUCCGUAACUGGUCUGAGAGGAUGAUCAGUCACACUGGAACUGAGACACGGUCCAGACUCCUACGGGAGGCAGCAGUGGGGAAUAUUGGACAAUGGGCGAAAGCCUGAUCCAGCCAUGCCGCGUGUGUGAAGAAGGUCUUCGGAUUGUAAAGCACUUUAAGUUGGGAGGAAGGGCAGUAAGUUAAUACCUUGCUGUUUUGACGUUACCAACAGAAUAAGCACCGGCUAACUUCGUG